CAGUAGCAAUAUUAGGUAAAAGUGUAACCGGAAAUAAUACUAUUUUCAGCGCCUAUCUUUAAUUUCUCCCCAAUAUUAAGCGGGCCAAUUGUUCAAUCUCUCCAAAACCUAAUCUCCCUCAGUUGAACCAUCUACGUCUCCCUCAAUUGAACCAUCUUCGUCCUGUGCUCCACAUCACUGCCAACGAUUUGGUGAUUUUAGUGCUUAAUUGCUUCAAAACCUAACCGCUCUCAAUCGCUCCAAAACCCUAAUCCCCCCCCAAGGCAGUCGUUUGAAUUGAACAACAACAUCAUCAUUCGAUUCUGGUGAUUUUAGACUUGGAAUUGUGACAUUGUUAUGGAGUUUGCAGCUCAUUUGCAUACAUGAGAGCUAGAAGGCGUAAAGGUGCAAAAGCCUGGUGCAACGAAUAGGCCACAAGAAUUAGAUGAUGUUGUCCUUAGGAGAUUGGUGAAGAGGAUAUACAUGGAAUUUAGUGAAACGGUUUCUUAUAAUGGUUGGUUGUUAUAAUUGGUCAAAGAAUCACAAUACAUUGCAAUGAUAGGUUUUCAUAUGAAUAUUUGUUUAAGAAAAUGGUAGUGACCCGUGUAAAUAGCAGAGAAGACUUGUGGUCACGAGCUGAGGGCAAGAAUAAAGGAAAAGUGUACGGGUUAGGCAAUGAUAGUGACCUGUGUGUACAUAACAGAGAAGACCCUGAGAUUGAAAAGUUGAACUUAGUUAUCAAGGAGCUCGUUAAGAAAAAAGAUGAAGAAAAAGAAAGGUUCAAUGGAAUUAUUGCGGGCUUGUUGGCUGGCAAAGAAAAAGAUAAGGUGGAUAAAGAUGCGUUGCUUGAUAGGAUGUCACAAAUUGAAGCUAUGUUAACAGCUACAGUUCGAAGAUAGGCUAUAAACACUUGGUUUUGAAUGUUUAGAUGUUUAUCUUAUUAGGAUAAUUUUAGUUAGUUUAUAUUUUAGUUGGUAUUUUUUA